UACGUAGGGGGCAAGCGUUGUCCGGAAUCAUUGGGCGUAAAGAGCGUGUAGGCGGUCCGGUAAGUCGGCUGUGAAAGUCCAGGGCUCAACCCUGGGAUGCCGGUCGAUACUGCCGGACUAGAGUUCGGAAGAGGCGAGUGGAAUUCCCGGUGUAGCGGUGAAACGCGCAGAUAUCGGGAGGAACACCUAUGGCGAAGGCAGCUCGCUGGGACGUUACUGACGCUGAGACGCGAAAGCGUGGGGAGCAAACAGG
rnacentral:rRNA from 1 species